rnacentral:lncRNA from 1 species
CAAGACACAGGGCACAGCCCAGUGUCGAGGGGUGAAUAAGCACACUUUGCUUUUGUGGCAGGAAUACUUCGGCAAAGAGGCAGAGAGUACGAUACAGUGAGGGGUGCAGAACAGGGGCCAAUCAUCCAGUUUACCACAGCAUUAAAGGAGUUUAACAGCAGAAAGUUUCCAUUCUGGCUGAGAAGAAUAAAUAGAAUCCAUGUACUUGACUCAAGCAGAUGACUUCUGUGAUUUGGUACUGAAGAUUUGUCAAACUCCGGGAAAUUUGUUCAUACUAUUGUUGGAACUUACCAAGCCCAAAAUUUCCCAACACCCAACCCAGCAACUCAAGGUGGCCCAAGUAAGCUCAUUCCUCCCAAAAACUGAGUAAUAAUUCAUUGACUGCAUCAUCAAGCCUAGCAAAACCUGCAAGAAGAAUCAACGGGAAGACCUGUUGACAAUAAGUGGCCAGGAGAAAAACUCUCCUAACCAGGAAAUUAAGUAAACACUUCCAUUUACAAUGGCAUUCAAAAGAAAAAAAAAUAGCUAGGAAUAAAUUUAAUCAAUAAAAAUCUUAUACACGGAAAACUACACAUCAUUGUUGAAAAAAAAGAAAGAAGACCUAAAUAAAUGGAAGGACAGCCAGUGUUCAUGAAUUGAAAGACUUAAUAUUGUGAAGAUGACAAUACUACUCAAAGCAAUCUACACAGUCAUUGCAACUCCUUUCGAAAUUUAAAUGACUUUUGGAUUUUCGGCAGAAAUGGAAAACCUGAUUCUUACAUUCAUAUGGAAUUACAAAGGACCCUGAAUUGGCAAAACAAUCUUAAAAAGUUUUUUUUUUUAAGCUGAAGGGCGCACACUUGCUAUGAUGCUUAAUAUUAAGUGUCAACUUAAUUGGAUUGAAACAUGCAAAGUAUUGUACCUGGGUGUGUCUGUGAAAGUGUUGCCAAAGGAGAUUAACAUUUGAGCCAGUGGACUGGGAGAGGCAGACACACCCUCAAUCUGGGUGGGCACCGUCUAAUCAACUGCCAAUUCAACUAGAAUAAAGCAGGCAGAAGAACGUGAAAGGACUUGACUUGCUAAGUCUUCCCUCCUUCACCUCUCUCCCAUGCUGGAUGCUUCCUGCCCUCGAACACCAGACUCAAGUUCUUCAGCUUCUGGACUCUUGAACUUACACCAGUGGUUAGCCAGGGGCUCUCUGGCCUUCAGCCAUGGACUGUAGGCUACGCUGUCGGCUUCCCUACUUUGAAGUUUUGGGAAUCUGACUGGCUUCCUUGCUUCUCAGCUUGCAGAUGGCUUAUUGUGAAACUUCGCCUUGUGAUCAUGUAAGUCAAUACUCAAUAAACUGCACUUCAUGUAUGUAUGUAUGUAUCCUAUUAGUUCUGUCCCACUAGAGAACCCUGACUAAUACCCUUUCCAAUGUUACAGAAUUUAGUAAUCAAAACAAUAUUGUAUUAGCAUAAUGAUAGAUAUAAAUACCAAGAGAAUAGAAUUGAGUCCAGAAAUAAACCCAUACAU